AUCAUAUGCUAAAAAUUCCACCUUCAUUAACAAUCUACAGGUUUGCCCAUGAAGACCAAGCUUCUGAUAGGUAAGAAUGAAUCCCAGAGAAAAUAAUGAUUAUAAUGUCAUUAUCUGAUUCCUUGUCCCCCCCUCUUUUCUUGUCUAUGUUGUCAGGUGUUUCCGUAAGUAUAGCAGCAUUAGCUGUUGCAGCACUUGUGUUCCUUAUUAGAAGUAGACUCUUA
rnacentral:misc_RNA from 1 species